rnacentral:lncRNA from 1 species
AUGUCAUUACCUGUCACAACCCCUCCUCAGGGAGCUUCUUCCCUUGUGUCCCAGGUCCUGCAGCACAAACUCCUGAGCUGUGCCCUGCUGGGCACUUCUGUCCUCCAGGGACCACCUUCAGCACGGAGCACCCGUGUCCCAAGGGCACCUUUGGCCCCAGGACUGGUGCCACCAGUGAGUCUGACUGCGAGCCCUGCCCAGCAGGGAUGUAUUGCUCAGCUCCAGGGCUAUCCCAGCCAUCUGGAUUUUGUUACCCAGGCUACCACUGUGCCAAGGGAGCCAUCAGCCCAGCCCCCUUCAAGCACAGGGUGGAAUCCUCCAGCCCUGCCCUGCCUGGCAAUGACAUCUGCCCCGUGGGUCACUUCUGCCCCAGUGGCACCGAGCAUCCCGUGCCGUGUCCCCCCGGGUCCCUGUCCGGUGCCGUGGGCCUGGGGGCAGAGGAGCAGUGCCAGCCCUGCCCUGCUGGGAGGGUCUGCAGUGGCCCAGGGCUGGCUGAGCUGGCCCAGACAUCGCUGUGUGACCCAGGGUGAGUGGCACUGCCACUGGGCAGUGACCAAACACAGCCUUGCUGUGCCUCAUAACCAAGGGACAUCCAAAUUUCCACAUCCUGGGCUCAUCCACAGCCCUUUGGUUGGGACGUGGUGCCUCCUUGUAGGUGUUCACAGACAUUCCUGUUCCCUUCACCUUUGCCUGAUAUUCUUAUAAAUAUUUCUUCUCUGUUUUCAAGGGAAAAAAAAAUCAAUAUUACAAAUGAAUUGCUGCUGCAAAUCCCUUAUUUAGUUCCAUAAUCACACUUGCUGAGAAUUUCACCUUUUUUUCCCUUUCUGAGUCCUCUUCUCCCACAAGGUGGUGCAAGAGCCAGGGACAAGGCACCGUUCCCAGGCUGUGAACAGUGCCCUGAGCAGUGUCUGUCCCUCUCAUGAGCCUCGGGGCAAGAGGAUACAGAAAUUGGAUUUAUUUUAUAAGUGUAACUGAGUCUAAGAAGUGAUUUCAGUGCAGUGUAAUGAGAUUUCAUGAGAUCUCUGAGAGGAGCUGGCUGUAGAAUGGAGCAGAGAAAAUCUCAAUGAAAUUUGUUUAGAAGUUGAAGCUAACUUCAAUUGUAUUCCCAUUGUAUUGGGAAUGCAAUGAGAGCUACGUUGAGAAGGACUGAAAAUAAUUAUUCUUGGGAAUAUGAGGGAUUUGACCUGUCCUAAUUGAACUUUAAGCUUUCCCAAAAUUUCCAUUAACCCUAAAAAUUAUUAUAGCGUAGCUGUAGCAGCAAUGAUCAAGACUUUCUUCAACUUCCAAAAUCCAUAGGAGGAGUUUGAUGAUUUUCAGCACCUUUAUCGCACAGCAUCCAUCACUGCUCAGAACCUGCUGCUCACUUGGAACUGCUCUUGUUUCCAGGCAAAAAAAGAAGCUGCUUUUCUGCUUUUCAUUCAGUGCUGUUCCUUUCCCACUCUGUUGUUUUCCUUCAGGAGUGGGAACUUUUUCUUCUAGAGAAACUCCAUCACUCGAAUCCUUGUC